CCGAAAAUCGAUCUCAACGCGGCGCACAAAUCGAGUCGUCUCUCCUUCGCCGUCCUGCGGUCAAUCUUUUUGGGCGUUUGUUCCGAAAUGAAGGUCUCAAAUUUCAGGUCACCGUCAAUCCUGGUCAGAAAGUAAUGAAUCAGCCGGGCAAGUUUUCCGUGUGGGAGGACGAGUUUCUUCAAAGGGCUGAGACUUAACAGAAUGGAUUCGAUAAAGUAAAUAUGCUCCAAUUGUUUCGCAAUUCGACCGACUUUCGCUCUUUCUCGGAGUUCCUGGAAAUUAAGUAGUUCAAAUUUGUUGAGGUUAAAAUUACGUUUUUCAAACCAAAAUAUGGCUGUUCUCAAUUAAAUAUUUCCGAAAUUUUAGUGUCUAUAAAAGCUAAAUAUUGUAAUUCCUCUCACCAUAACUCUCUCGAGGGCAAAGGCGGUCAAAAGGUUGAAGAAGGAGACGGGAAUACAGAUCAGAAAGGAGAGGAAGACCAAGAGUCGAAUCGCCCUGUUUUUCGUGUCCACUUCCGAACCAGGUUUUCCUCCUCCUUCGCCCUCCUCAGUUUUGAAGGUGUCGUUGUACUCAAAUUCGCCCGUCAUCAUCACCAACACUUUCACCAAUGGUCCCGGAAACGUUGUGUUGAGAGACUCGUCCUGAAAAUUUAUGAAAAAUUCUUAAAAUAAAUACGUCAAUUAAUUUUCAAAUAGGGCAAAAAUUUAGAUAUACUUACGUCGUCAAAGAGUAUAACGAAGGCAAGCGUGAAUCCAAACAGGAUUGGGGAACAGCACAAUAAAACUUUUAUAAUUUGGAUGACAACCUGAACGAAUAAAAUAUUUUGUGGUGUAAAA